AGCGAACGCUGGCGGCAGGCCUAACACAUGCAAGUCGAACGAAGUCUUCGGACUUAGUGGCGGACGGGUGAGGAACACGUGGGAACGUACCUUUUGGUUCGGAACAACUCAGGGAAACUUGAGCUAAUACCGGAUGAGCCCUUAGGGGGAAAGAUUUACCGACGAAAGAGCGGCCCGCGUUAGAUUAGCUAGUUGGCGAGGUAAAGGCUCACCAAGGCUAGGAACUAUAGCUGGUAUGAGAGGAUUAGCAGCCACACUGGGACGGAGACACGGCCCAGACUACUACGGGAGGCAGCAGUGGGGAAUCUUGCGCAAUGGGCGAAAGCCUGACGCAGCCAUGCCGCGUGAAUGAUGAAGGUCUUAGGAUUGUAAAAUUCUUUUACCAGGGACGAUAAUGACGGUACCUGGAGAAAAAGCCCCGGCUAACUUCGUGCCAGCCGCCGCAGUAAGAC
rnacentral:rRNA from 1 species